rnacentral:lncRNA from 1 species
AUUUCUUCAAGCCACAAUUAAGGCAGAAAACCUAAUACCCCAUACUUUCCCCUCAUUUGGCCGAUUCUCUCCCCCCUCAAACACUAAGCCACACAUUCAAGUAUGAGGAAUGAUCUUUCAGCCUUCAAAUCUCUUCUUGGCUUCGAUUCAAACAAAGCAAAAAGGAGAUUUAUGGCAUAUUUUCCCGGUAAGAACUUCUUUCUUCUCUUUUUAUUUGCUUUCAAACAUUAAAACUAUGAACCCAAAAGAAUGAAAAACAAAAAAAAAAUACACAGAUUUAAAUUGAAAAUCACCUUCCCAAAAAAAUUGCUUUUGAACUUUCUAUUCAAUAUGAGUAUGUAGUAUCUCCCCCCUCUUACAAUGAAAAUAAGGCUUUUAUAUAGCCGAAAAUAAAAAGAAAAAUACAAAGAAUUUCAUUUUUCGUUCUUUUUCUUUGCUGCUGUUUUUUUUUUGCUUUGUUUUUGGUUGUCCUUGCUGUUGUGUUUGUCUGUUUCUUUGCAGUUGCGGAGGUACAGGGCCAGCUGUGGCGUACGGCUCGUGGUCGUGGAGGCGUGGACAUGGCCGUGCUGGAGGGUUGUGGCUACUAGGGAAACCCUAGGUUUCUGUUUAGCUGAAGUUGUUUUAGCUUUGGGCUGUUUGGGCCACGAGUAUUUUGGGCUAGGGUUUUAGCUAAUGGAUUUUAAUUGGGUCUUGAGUUAUGUAUUUAAUUUUAGGUUUUGGACUGUAAAAUGGGCUGAUGAACUGUUAAAUAAUAUUUAUUGGGUUUUUAUUAUUUAUUUUUUUGUUUUUGUGUUGUAAUGGGCCGGGCAAAUUUUGGGCCUUACAGCUGCCCUUCUUUGCUCAUUGUCGUGUAACGAGAAUGGAGUAAAGACUAUAAAAAGGACCAAAUUUGCCCGGUCUGGCUAAGUCUCAAAAUGUUGAUCCUCAUCUUCUCCAAAGGUAUUCUGAUGUCUUCAGGAGUGUCAAAUUGGCUAUAUUCAACUUGCUCCUUGAAAACUCGGGAACACCAAUCUGUUAUUUUUGAUCUACUCUCUGCCAAUACAGAGAUGCCAAAUCUGUCAUCUUCGAUCUGCUCUCUGCCAAUACAGAGACGCUAAAUCUUCCUAGAUUUGCUUCAACGUAAACACGUGAACGCCAAAUCAACUAUGUCUUCGAUCCACCCCUGCCAAUACAGAGACGCCAAAUCUGCUAUCUUUAAUCUGCUUUCCGCCGCUACAGAGACGACAAAUCUACUAUCUUUGAUCUGCUCUUCGC